AAAUUGAAGAGUUUGAUCAUGGCUCAGAUUGAACGCUGGCGGCAGGCCUAACACAUGCAAGUCGAACGGUAGCACAGAGAGCUUGCUCUCGGGUGACGAGUGGCGGACGGGUGAGUAAUGUCUGGGAAACUGCCUGAUGGAGGGGGAUAACUACUGGAAACGGUGGCUAAUACCGCAUAACGUCGCAAGACCAAAGAGGGGGACCUUCGGGCCUCUUGCCAU
rnacentral:rRNA from 2 species